rnacentral:rRNA from 1 species
ACUCUCGGCAAUGGAUAUCUCGGCUCUUGCAUCGAUGAAGAACGUAGUGAAAUGCGAUACUUGGUGUGAAUUGCAGAAUCUCGUGAACCAUUGAGUCUUUGAACGCAAGUUGUGCCCGAGGCCUUGUGGUCGAGGGCACGCCUGCUUGGGCGUC